GACGAACGCUGGCGGCGUGCUUAACACAUGCAAGUCGAACGGAAAGGCCCUGCUUUUGUGGGGUGCUCGAGUGGCGAACGGGUGAGUAACACGUGAGUAACCUGCCCUUGACUUUGGGAUAACUUCAGGAAACUGGGGCUAAUACCGGAUAGGAGCUCCUGCUGCAUGGUGGGGGUUGGAAAGUUUCGGCGGUUGGGGAUGGACUCGCGGCUUAUCAGCUUGUUGGUGGGGUAGUGGCUUACCAAGGCUUUGACGGGUAGCCGGCCUGAGAGGGUGACCGGCCACAUUGGGACUGAGGUACGGACCAGACUCCUACGGGAGGCAGCGGUGGGGAAUAUUGCACAGUGGGCGGAAGCCUGAUGCAGCAACGCCGCGUGCGGGAUGACGGCCUUCGGGUUGUAAACCGCUUUCGCCUUUGACGAAGCGUGAGUGACGGUAAUGGGUAAAGAAGCACCGGCUAACUACGUG
rnacentral:rRNA from 1 species